rnacentral:sRNA from 1 species
UUUGUUUUUUAACACUGACGCAGUCCGGAUAAAUAGUCCGAAGUCCUUCAAUAAUACACUCCUCCGAUCAUGUUUCCUGAAAAGAAAGACACGGACUGGCUUCUGACCCUCAUUGUUGGCAUAAUCGUGGGCUAUUUAAUUGCCACACACAACGAAUAGAAGAAAAGAUGGAAAAGAAGCAAGUACAAAUGAAAUAAAAUUCAAGUAGAAACCUCAAAUCCAAGUAGGCAUGCUGUUUAUGGCUAUGGAGAGUACGAAAUAGAUUCAUCAUUCCAUAAUCUACUUUCUUCUCGGAACAACGUCAAAAUUUUCCGUUCUCGGACUUAAAAAUUUUUAAAGGGACAUGCAGAGGUUCAUAACAUUUAUUGUUGGUGGAAUUUGCGGUUAUUUGCUUGCCAAGAACAGAUAACUUGCAAUGAUCCACAUUAUUGCCUUUGGUUUGGGCGUGGUGUGUGGCAUGUUCGUAUGCCGACGCUGCGAGCCCUGAGAACAGAUGUCCUGCAUAGAGAGUCCAUUUAACAGACUUUUGUUCCUUUUUAUCUAAUAAAAUGAGAAGGCUGCUGUAAAACCAAGUUAUUAAAGGCAUUUUCUUUCAAGAGAAGACCCUAUAACGGUCUCUAGAUCCCAUAACAGACUCUCCAAUUCCUACAAGGUAGAUCGAAGCCUCGCUUGUCAAAAAUAUCCAACAAAAUAAUACACAAGUUUAAGCUGUUCUUUUGAAAUUCA